rnacentral:rRNA from 1 species
GGGAUAAGCCUGGGAAACUGGGUCUAAUACCGGAUAGGACCACACACUUCAUGGUGAGUGGUGCAAAGCUUUUGCGGUGUGGGAUGAGCCCGCGGCCUAUCAGCUUGUUGGUGGGGUAAUGGCCCACCAAGGCGACGACGGGUAGCCGGCCUGAGAGGGUGUCCGGCCACACUGGGACUGAGAUACGGCCCAGACUCCUACGGGAGGCAGCAGUGGGGAAUAUUGCACAAUGGGCGCAAGCCUGAUGCAGCGACGCCGCGUGGGGGAUGACGGCCUUCGGGUUGUAAACCUCUUUCACUAUCGACGAAGCGAAAGUGACGGUACCUACAGAAGAAGGACCGGCCAACUACGUGCCAGCAGCCGCGGUAAUACGUAGGGUCCGAGCGUUGUCCGGAAUUACUGGGCGUAAAGAGCUCGUAGGUGGUUUGUCGCGUUGUUCGUGAAAACUCACAGCUUAACUGUGGGCGUGCGGGCGAUACGGGCAGACUA